GCACUCGUAGCUCAGCCUGGAUAGAGCAACGGACUUCGGAUCCGUGUGUCAGGGGUUCGAAUCCUCUCGGGUGCACCA
rnacentral:tRNA from 1 species